GAUGAACGCUGGCGGUGUGCCUAAUACAUGCAAGUCGAACGGGCUCUUCGGAGCUAGUGGCGGACGGGUGAGUAACACGUUGGUACCUACCCCUAAGUGGGGAAUAACUGCCCGAAAGGGUGGCUAAUACCGCAUAAUCCCGCAAGGGUAAAGCAGUAAUGCGCUUAGGGAGGGGCCUGCGUCUGAUUAGCUAGUUGGUAGGGUAAUUGCCUACCAAGGCGACGAUCAGUAGCUGGAUCGAGAGGUUGACCAGCCACACUGGGACUGAGAUACGGCCCAGACUCCUACGGGAGGCAGCAGUAAGGAAUCUUCCACAAUGGACGAAAGUCUGAUGGAGCAACACCGCGUGCAGGAUGACGGUCUUCGGAUUGUAAACUGCUUAUAUAUGGGAAGAUUAUGACGGUACCAUAUGAAUAAGGACCGGCUAACUACGUGCCAGCAGCCGCCGUAA
rnacentral:rRNA from 1 species